rnacentral:lncRNA from 1 species
GGCCUGAUACUAGAUGGGUGUACCUAAUAAACUGGACCCGGUAAUCCUACUACUACUACUACUACUGCUACUACUGCUACUACUGCUACUACUACUACUACUACCACUACUACUACUACUACUACUACUACUGCUACUACUACUACUACUACUACUACUACUACUACUACUACCACUACUACCACUGCUGCUACUGCUACUACUACUACUACUACUACUACUACUGCUACUACUACUACUGCUACUGCUACAACUACCACUACUACUACUACUACUACUGCUACAACUACUACUACUGUUACUACUACUGUUACUACUACUACUACCACUACUACCACUGCUGCUACUGCUACUACUACUACUACUACUACUACUACUGCUACAACUACCACUACUACUACUACUACUACUACUACUGUUACUACUACUACUACUACUACUGCUACAACUAUUACUACUACUACUGCUACUACUACUACUACUACUACUACCACUACUACUACUACUACCGCUACUACUACUACUACAACUGCUACUACUACUACUACUACUACUACUACUACUACUACUACUACUACUGCUACAACUACUACUACUGUUACUACUACUGUUACUACUACUACUACUACUACUACUACUACUACUGCUACAACUAUUACUACUACUACUGCUACCACUACUACUACUGCUACUACUACUACAACUACUACCACUACUACUACUACCACUACUACUACUACUACCGCUACUACUACUACUACUACAACUGCUACUACCACCACUACCACCCACCGCUCUGUAUGCGUUGAAAGCAGCACCGAGCCUAUUCAACUACAACACUAAAAUAAAAUAUAUUCUCAGGUAAACUAUAAGGAAGCUAUUCCACUUUCUUUCUUUUUACCACAUUUUAUCCCAGACUUGAAUGUAUGAAAUAUAGCUUACUUGUUUUGCAUAUGAAUUAUUCUUAGAAGUUCUAUCAAUAUUGUACAAUUUUACUUUAUGGAUAAACUAUCUAAACAAUGAAAAAAUAUGUAUGUAAUGCACUCUACAUCACAAUAUCUGGCUUUGGAAUCAAAUAUAUCUCUCUAUAGCAGCCAAGGCAAUACGUAUGUACACAUGAUGUUCAUAUAUAGUGAGUAACACAGUCAUAGUAGGGACAUAGACACUGUAACAUAUAACCAUGCAGUACAAAAUGGAGGAUGAGUACGAGAGGGAGGAGGAGGAAGAGGUGGAGGAGUUGGAGAGGAAGGUGGAGGAAGAGGAAGAGGAGGAGGUAAAAGGAAGAGGUGGAGGUGAAGAGGUGGAAGAGAGGAGGAAGAGGAGGUGGUAGAGGAAGAGGUGGAGAAGAGGAAAGGGGGAGGAGGAAGAGGUGGAGGAGGUUCCUUUGUAAUGGUAAAAAACAACAACUCAUAACUGGGGAGGAAGGAUAUAGAAUGUGUGUCUGUCUGACCACUUCAGUCAACCCAGAAAAGUCCCACUGAGGCAAUACUGGGGUGAUGAGGCUGUACUGGGGUGAUGAGGCUUUCCUGGGGUGAUGAGGCUGUACUGGGGUGAUGAGGCUGUACUGGGGUGAUGAGGCUGUACUGGGGUGAUGAGGCUGUACUGGGGUGAUGAGGCUGUACUGGGGUCCUGUGGUUAUUAAAACAGGGGCUGUACUGGGGUCCUGUGGUUAUUAAAACAGGGGCAGUACUGGGGUCCUGUGGUUAUUAAAACAGGGGCUGUACUGGGGUACUGUGGUUAUUAAAACAGGGGCUGUACUGGGGUCCUGUGGUUAUUAAAACAGGGGCUGUACUGGGGUCCUGUGGUUAUUAAAACAGGGGCUGUACUGGGGUCCUGUG